UUUCGAUCAUUCCUUCUCUCUAUACAGCCGUAAGAAGAGAAGAAGAGAUAGGAGCAGUAGCUGGUGGUAAAGAAAAAGAUAUUGGUGCAAAGAUCGCACCUAUCACUAAACUUGAAGAAGUUUACGACUGAUCAAUAUACAAGUAAUGGAUUCUCGAUAAGUAUUAUUGGAUAUUUCAAGAAGGAGCAAUCUUGUUGUUAUCGUUAUAACAGAUUGUUGGCAGUAAUUGAUUGCUCAAAUGUGAAAAAAGUAAAAUAAAACUAAAGAAUGGGUGAUGUGGAAAGUAUGGAACUGAAAUUCAGAAUUGAUAAUACGGGUAUUGCUCAUAUGAAUUAUGCUUCUACUACGAUUGCAACUCUCAAGGAACAUCUUGUUGCACAAUGGCCUCAAGGUUUGGAACUUCUUUAUUUAACAUUCCGUAUGUCUAAUAAUUUGGUCGUGUUUGCACAUUUGAACUCGUUUAUGUUUAAAUGCUUUGAAUUGGUUUGCUUCUAGAGUAGAUAACUUGGUGGGCUAAAGUUUGUGGGAUCAUAUGCACCUGGCAUAUUAAUAUGUUGUAUACCGACUAAAGCUGGUACUACGAGUACGGUUCUUUAUUAUCAUCUUGGUGUCAUUUUCUCUCAUGGUAUGUGAUAUCGACACUAUUUGGAACGUCCUAUGCACUGAGCCCUAUUUUAUCUGCAUGGAGGAAUCUAUGUACUGAUAUUGAUAGAAUGGGAGGUUAUGCAGAAUUUCUUAUGGUUCAGUAAUAAUUGCAAAAUCAUAAUCUGUGCAAAUUUCAUGUUCUGAGUUAGUUUCAUCCUUCCAUACCCCUUGAUCCUGAUGGGUAUUUUGUUUGAAUGGUUAAAGUUAGUAGUGGGUUCGGAUUAUUUAUGGCCUUACGGGUGAAAAAAUGAUCGAGUGGUGUCUUCUUACUUGUUUCUUUCUGUGGAUUUUGUAGGUUGAGUAUUAUUUCAGUGAUGCAAAUUUGGCGAUGUAUUCGAAGCUUAUAAGUGGCUGUAAGUGAAGAUGGAAGUAGGUUAGGUAUCAAAAUUCAUUCACCGACUCAGAUAUGAAAGGGAUUGCAGAGGCUUCAGCAAUAACCACUGCAGAAUCCAUGAACCCUUUCCUGAUCAGCUGCUAAGUUGGUGUUUAUCUGCAAGAAUUUCCAAUUUAAAGGGAGCUUGCUUACCAGAAGAAUAUAGAGGGAUGCAGUUCCAACCUUGGUAUGAUUAUAUGGAAGUACCAAUUGAUUAUGACAGCCUUCUUUUAACAACUUUCUACUUUCCUUGCUCUAGCUUUGAACAAUUCAUUCCACUUGUUACCUUUUAGUUCUCUCAGACUCUUCUCUUGCAGAUAAAUAGACUGCAGGGGAUAGUUAUAGAUGGGUACAAUAACGAAGUCCCUUUGAAAAGCUUACUCAUUCCUUUGGUUCUUAUACAACAACGAAUUCAGCAUCCUCGUGUGAUCAUCCUCUCAAAGCCACAAUAAUUUGCUGCAUUCUAAUUACUGAUCAUUGUAAGAGAUUGUAACAUUCUGUUUCUAUAUGCAAUCCUUAGAAGCUAAAACAAACAUAGUAGCACCAGCACGAUGUAAGAACAAGAACAUAUUUGCAUAUGCAAUCUUUCAGUUGUACAAUUUGACACUUGAUUUUCUUAAUGCAA